rnacentral:rRNA from 1 species
CCUACGGGUGGCAGCAGUGAGGAAUAUUGGUCAAUGGACGAGAGUCUGAUCCAGCGAAGUAGCGUGAAGGAAGAAUGCUCUCUGGGUUGUAAACUUCUUUUAUAUGGGAGUAACACAGGGCAUGCAUACCCUCUUGUAUGUACCAUAUGAAUAAGCAUCGGCUAACUCCGUGCCAGCAGCCGCGGUAAUACGGAGGAUCCGAGCGUUAUCCGGAUUUAUUGGGUUUAAAGGGCGCGUAGGUGGAUUGUUAAGUCAGUUGUGAAAGGUUGCGGCGCAACCGUAAAAUUGCCGUUGAAACUGGCAGUCUUGAGUACAGUAGAGGUGGGCGGAAUUCGUGGUGUAGCCGUGAAAUGCGUAGAUAUCACGAAGAACUCCGAUUGCGAAGGCAGCUCACUGGACUGUAACUGACACUGAUGCUCGAAAGUGUGGGUAUCAAACAGGAUUAGAUACCCGAGUAGUC